rnacentral:snoRNA from 1 species
AAACCAUGUUGUGGACAUUGUCAAAGCAGCCCAUUUUAUCUUUCCCAUGCCUCGUAAUAGCACUCCGAAUCAAGUUGAGAGAAUGUAGUGAUUUCAACUCUACAAUC